AGUCAAUAGAUACCCAGGUAGUCCACGCCGUAAACGAUGAGUACUAGGUGUAGGAGGUAUCGACUCCUUCUGUGCCGCAGUUAACACAAUAAGUACUCCGCCUGGGAAGUACGGUCGCAAGAUUAAAACUCAAAGGAAUUGACGGGGGCCCGCACAAGCAGCGGAGCAUGUGGUUUAAUUCGAAGCAACGCGAAGAACCUUACCUAGACUUGACAUCCCCUGAAUAACGUAGAGAUACGCGAAGCCCUUCGGGGCGAGGGAGACAGGUGGUGCAUGGUUGUCGUCAGCUCGUGUCGUGAGAUGUUGGGUUAAGUCCCGCAACGAGCGCAACCCUUAUCAUUAGUUGCUACCAUUUAGUUGAGCACUCUAGUGAGACUGCCCGGGUUAACCGGGAGGAAGGCGGGGAUGACGUCAAAUCAUCAUGCCCCUUA
rnacentral:rRNA from 1 species